UUAGUCUUUAAAACUAGCAAUCCAAAAAAUUUGGCCAAAAUUUAUUUUACCGAAUAUCCGCAAGAAAAAAAUCCUAUUUGGAAGAAUCCAUGUAAGGAUCCAAAUGCUCUUAAAUUAUGGAGUCGUCCUGGUAAUUGCGACAGAUUUCCUAAAUUUAUAAUCGUUGGCCCUCAAAAAACAGGAACAACGGCAUUACUCUGGUUUUUAUCAAUGAACCCUUAUUUAAAAGAGAAUAAGAUGACGGAAUUUUUUGAAGAGACUCAAUUUUUUUCAAGCGAAAACUAUAAAAAGG